AUUGAACGCUGGCGGCAGGCCUAACACAUGCAAGUCGAACGGCAGCGGGGGAUAGCUUGCUAUCCUGCCGGCGAGUGGCGGACGGGUGAGUAAUGCAUGGGGAGCUGCCCAAUCGAGGGGGAUACCAACUGGAAACGGUUGCUAAUACCGCAUACGCCCUGCGGGGGAAAGGUGGGGACCUACGGGCCUACCGCGAUUGGAUGCACCCAUGUGGGAUUAGCUGGUUGGUGAGGUAACGGCUCACCAAGGCGACGAUCUCUAGCUGGUCUGAGAGGAUGACCAGCCACACUGGAACUGAGACACGGUCCAGACUCCUACGGGAGGCAGCAGUGGGGAAUAUUGCACAAUGGGGGAAACCCUGAUGCAGCCAUGCCGCGUGUGUGAAGAAGGCCUUCGGGUUGUAAAGCACUUUCAGUAGGGAGGAAGGGGUGAUGACUAAUAUUCAUCAUCAUUGACGUUACCUACAGAAGAAGCACCGGCUAACUCCGUG
rnacentral:rRNA from 1 species